rnacentral:rRNA from 1 species
CCUACGGGAGGCAGCAGUGGGGAAUAUUGGACAAUGGGCGAAAGCCUGAUCCAGCCAUGCCGCGUGUGUGAAGAAGGCCUUCGGGUUGUAAAGCACUUUCAGUGGGGAAGAAAGCCUUGGGGCUAAUACCCUCGAGGAAGGACAUCACCCACAGAAGAAGCACCGGCUAACUCCGUGCCAGCAGCCGCGGUAAUACGGAGGGUGCGAGCGUUAAUCGGAAUUACUGGGCGUAAAGCGCGCGUAGGCGGUCUGAUAAGCCGGUUGUGAAAGCCCCGGGCUCAACCUGGGAACGGCAUCCGGAACUGUCAGGCUAGGGUGCAGGAGAGGAAGGUAGAAUUCCCGGUGUAGCGGUGAAAUGCGUAGAGAUCGGGAGGAAUACCAGUGGCGAAGGCGGCCUUCUGGACUGACACUGACGCUGAGGUGCGAAAGCGUGGGUAGCAAACAGGAUUAGAUACCCUGUAGUC